AUUUUUCUUAUUCUUGUAACACACCGUUCUUAAAAAUGUUACCGGUAUGAUUCAAAUAUCAUAAUUCAUAAGGCUUUGAUUUUGGUUGGACAAAAAUUGAAAAUUAAAAAAUAGUUGUAUUUCUACUUUUCUAGUAUCUUGCUUUAAAUUGUUUAUAAUUACAAAUUUGAAUUGUAGUAUUGAUAAAGCUCUUGAUGACAAUUUCAAUUACGAUAAUUCUUAUCAGUAAUGAAUUCAAUUUAUUGGGAAGUUUCGGUUGGUGACUGGUACUGGGCCCGGGCAGAUGCAGGCCUCGUUGGGCAAUGACGUCAGCUAUAAUGGGAACUGGUGAGGCCACCGCCGCUGCUGCUGCUGAUGAUGAUGAUGGUGGUGGAUCCGAUGACUUGUGCGCUUGCGCAGUCGGGCCUAUCGCCUCUUCGCCAUCCUCUGUUGGCUGCAUUCUGUAGCAAUUCAGCUCCUCGAUGAAUUCUUUAUAGGCUAGAUAUCUCUGCAAGUUCCAGCCCAAUUCCUGCUCGCUGGCUCAGACAGACCAAGAAGAUCGAUCCAGUGAUUGUAUUCAUGAGAUUCAUGGCCAUACCAGUAUUUUAUGAUGGCGAAUCUGAAAAAGUCCACCCAUUAUCACAUAAUAUAUUAUUGUAUUGCAAUGGAAAAUACUCAUGUCGAUUUGCACCAAUUGGGAUUAAAAUAUAUUGAACUAGUAGUUCAUACCUUCUUAUAGCUUAUCGCUAAUCUUGCAUUGAAAUUAAUUUUGCUUAACAUGGUCAUUGGAAAAUGUGAUAACAUGUUAUAAUAGACAGUCGCGGUAAUUAUUCAUUGAAAGUUGACUCACAUUUUUAUGGUUGAAUUAUAAUUUCCAAUCGAACAAUAAUUGUUACUCAUCACUUUUCUGUUUGAAUUAUUGAGAUUUUCCUUAAGAAUUCGAAAACAUCUUUCCAAAAAAUGAACCAAAAUUCAAGAAACGCUUACAACUAUUAAAACAGGCUUAAAGAAUAAAUGUAAGUAGGCUAAUGCAAUGUAGAAAUGUAGCUCACAAGGAAAUUUUUCAUGGAAAAAUUCUAAACUUUUCUUCAUUAUCCAAACAAUAUAUCAAAAAAUCAAUAUUGCUAGCCCCCUUUUUCAUGUCUACAUUGACUGGACUACCUAUCGAUCUCCGCUUAUAAGUUUACAUAGUACCUAUUUUGUAUUGCCAAUGACAGUUUAUUUAAAUCACAGUGUGUUUAUUCUGUUCUGUUGGGCAACGGUGCAAGCUUAGGGUAGAAGUGUACCGUAUUGAUAAGACAUGUAUCGGUCAGUGUUAAACAUUUUACUGCUCAGUGUCAUCUGACGUCAAUAAAACCAGUUUGACUUUACCCUUUACAGCCUA